AACACAUCUCUUGUCUUCUUGACUGAUUCCCGGGAUCCUGUCUAACAAAGAGGGUGUGGCUCCGACAAAAUAUCCAUCUAACAAAGAGGGUUUCGUGUAUAGCUGAUUUUAUCCCCUACAUACAUAACGCAUUCCUUAGCUCAGACUGGAAUGACUAGAGUUACAGAUAGAAAAAUUCUGUGUCUUUCUUGCCUGAAAACACCCAAAAUGGAG